AUGGACCAAUCCAUCCCUUUUUCCCGUGCAUAUGCAUCGGACUCGGAUGACGAUGGUCCCGAUGAAGAAAUUGAUGAGGAGGGGUUCACGCCGAAGGAGGCCGAAGCAUUCAAGAAGGUAUCCGGGCGGGAUCACAAGACACCAUUGUUCAAGGAUCUUAGUCUCGCGGAUGAAGCCGUUGUGGAUGGUGGCAAAUGCAUAUCUCUUGGAGCUAGGCCAAGUUCUCAC
rnacentral:rRNA from 1 species